rnacentral:rRNA from 1 species
UAGUGAGUUUGAUCCUGGCUCAGGGUGAACGCUGGCGGCGUGCUUAAGACAUGCGAGUCGAACGGCAGUCUUCGGACUGUAGUGGCGCACGGGUGAGUAACGCGUAACUGACCUACCCCAAAGUCGCGGAUAACGGUUCGAAAGAAUCGCUAAUACGUGAUGUGCUGUCAGAUCUUGUUCUGCCAGUUAAAGAUUUUAUUGCUUUGGGGAUGGGGGUUGCGUUCCAUCAGCUAGUUGGUAGGGUAAACGGCCUACCAAGGCGACGACGGAUAGCCGGCCUGAGAGGGU